AUUCCAGCUCCAAUAGCGUAUAUUAAAGUUGUUGCGGUUAAAAAGCUCGUAGUUGGAUUUCUGUCAAAGGUAAGGCGGUCCAUCUUAUGGAUGUGCAUCUGCCUAUGCCUUGGCAUCCUCAUGAAGAACGUUUUCGCGCUUCACUGCGUGUUUACGGUAUUCAUGACUUUUACUUUGAGGAAAUUAGAGUGUUCACGGCAGGCAAUCGCUUUGGAUACAUUAGCAUGGAAUAAUACUAUAGGACCUCGGUUCUAUUUUGUUGGUUUCUAGAGCUGAGGUAAUGAUUAAUAGGGAUAAUUGGGGGUCUUUGUAUUGCAACGUCAGAGGUGAAAUUCUUGGAUUGUUGCACGACAAACUACUGCGAAAGCAUUGACCAAGGAUGUUUUCAUCG
rnacentral:rRNA from 1 species